rnacentral:lncRNA from 1 species
GCAGAUAUCUGUUCAUAUGCAACGUGUUCCAGUUUUGUCCAUACUGUAUCUAGUACAAAGAGACAUAAUCCGGGUUCCUCCGUACAACGUUUGCCUCUGACAAUUAUAUUUAAACGACCAGAUACUAACGGGGUUAAACCAAACUCGAAAAAUACUUUACCGUCAUCAGCUAAUUUUAGGUAAGCUAAUUUGAAUCUUAUCAUAAUAUGCAUAGUGUCUGUAAGUGUAUUAUAUACAGUUCUAUUGCCAUAAACACACCCGUAAAUGUUGUUUGUACUGGAGGCAGAGAGGCAAAUUAAUUUCAAUGGGUUAUUUCCUUUUAAAUCCGGCUCGUCACAUGUAAAGGCA